rnacentral:rRNA from 1 species
UACAGAGGUCUCAAGCGUUGUUCGGAUUCAUUGGGCGUAAAGGGUGCGUAGGCGGCGCGGUAAGCCGGGUGUGAAAUCUUGGAGCUUAACUCCGAAACUGCAUUCGAUACUGCCGUGCUUGAGGACUGGAGAGGAGACUGGAAUUUACGGUGUAGCGGUGAAAUGCGUAGAUAUCGUAAGGAAGACCAGUGGCGAAGGCGGGUCUCUGGACAGUUCCUGACGCUGAGGCACGAAGGCCAGGGGAGCAAACGGG